CACAAUCGUGAACGCGAAAAAAUGCCAAUGGCUAAUGCCGCUUGGCUAACAAUUGAAUUGGCCAGCGAAUUUGUUCAGCAAACGGCUCGGGAAUGCAGUGCGCCACGGCUCAUUGCCAGCGAAUACGUGCGAAAUGCGAAGGUUAUUAACUAGCUCAGGUGUGCAACUGAAGUCGAACAAGCGCAUCUGUAACGAUCCACACAGCACUGAAACAACAACAACGGAGCUUCUGCCAAAGCCAACAAAACAGAAGCGAAGCUAAAGAACAGAAGCUGCCCCAACCGACAGAUGUACAUUUGUGUAUAUCCAUAAUAGCCAUUUGCUAUGGACGGGGAGAUCAUUUAGAAUGUUUGUUUAUGC